rnacentral:rRNA from 1 species
GUGGGGAAUUUUGGACAAUGGGGGCAACCCUGAUCCAGCCAUGCUGCGUGCGGGAAGAAGGCCUUCGGGUUGUAAACCGCUUUUGUCAGGGAAGAAAUCCUUUGGGUUAAUACCUCGGAGGGAUGACGGUACCUGAAGAAUAAGCACCGGCUAACUACGUGCCAGCAGCCGCGGUAAUACGUAGGGUGCGAGCGUUAAUCGGAAUUACUGGGCGUAAAGCGUGCGCAGGCGGUUUUGUAAGAUCGAUGUGAAAUCCCCGGGCUCAACCUGGGAACUGCAUUGGUGACUGCAAGGCUGGAGUGCGGCAGAGGGGGAUGGAAUUCCGCGUGUAGCAGUGAAAUGCGUAGAUAUGCGGAGGAACACCGAUGGCGAAGGCAAUCCCCUGGGCCUGCACUGACGCUCAUGCACGAAAGCGUGGGGAGCAAACAGGAUUAGAAACCCCUGUAGUCC